UUGGGGUGGCUACGGGCCACUUCAGUGCCGCAGGGAAGCCAUUAAGCUCGCCGCCUGGGGAGUACGGCCGCAAGGCUGAAACUUAAAGGAAUUGGCGGGGGAGCACCACAAGGCGUGAAGCUUGCGGUUCAAUUGGAGUCAACGCCGGGAACCUUACCGGGGGCGACAGCAGUAUGAUGACCAGAUUGAAGGUCUUGUUUGACAAGCUGAGAGGAGGUGCAUGGCCGUCGCCAGUUCGUGCCGUGAGGUGUCCUGUUAAGUCAGGCAACGAUCGAGACCCGCACCCUUAGUUGCUACUGAGGAAAUUUUCCAAGGGGCACUCUAGGGGGACUGCCGUCGACAAGACGGAGGAAGGAGCGGGCUACGGCAGGUCAGUAUGCCCCGAAUCCCCCGGGCUACACGCGAGCUGCAAUGGCAGGUACAAUGGGUUCCGACCCUGAAAAGGGAAGGCAAUCUCGAAACCCUGCCUCAGUUUGGAUCGAAGGCUGGAACCCGCCUUCGUGAAAAUGGAAUGCCUAGUAAUCGCGUGUCAUCAUCGCGCGGUGAAUACGUCCCCGCUCCUUGCACACACCGCCCGUCGCUCCAUCCGAGUGGGGUUUGGGUGAGGCGUGGUCUUCUUGGCUGCGUCGAAUCUGAGUUCCGCAAGGAGGGAGAAGUCGUAACAAGGUAGCC
rnacentral:rRNA from 1 species